CCGAGUUUACAACUCCCAAACCCAAUGUGAACGUUACCAAACUGUUGCCUCGGCGGGAUUUCUGCCCCGGGCGCGUCGCAGCCCCGGACCAAGGCGCCCGCCGGAGGACCAAUUUACAAACUCUUUGUAUGUCCCUUUGCGGAUUUUUAUUAUACAUUCUGAGCUUUCUCGGCGCUCCUAGCGAGCGUUUCGAAAAUGAAUCA
rnacentral:misc_RNA from 1 species